rnacentral:ncRNA from 2 species
CUUGAUAAAAUCUCCGAGCUUAUGGACCUGGUGUGAGUGGUCUGGCCCAUAAGCCGUUAGGGUUUGUUUGGAAACGGACAGGCCUCCGGGAAGCAAGACUGGGUCUCCUGGC